rnacentral:rRNA from 1 species
GCCCUGGCUGGGUGGUCCGCCUUUCGGCUGGUACUGCUCCGGCUGGGGUUCUCCUUCUGGCGGGCUAGCAUGCCCUUUACUGGGUGUGUUAGUGCGCCAGGACAUUUACUUUGAAAAAAUUAGAGUGUUUAAAGCAGGCCUACGCUUGAAUACAUUAGCAUGGAAUAAUAGAAUAGGACU